rnacentral:lncRNA from 13 species
GCUUUACAGCUGAGAGUGUGUAUAUUAUCUUCUCUUAUCUUUCAGAUUUUUAGUAUGGUUCCCAAGCUGUAAUUGGACCUUAGUAUGAAAUGGAGCCUGGCUGUGUUACAGACACAGACACACCAGCCAGGUGCUACUGCUCAGUAUCUGACCCUCAUCUCAUGCUGAACAGAGUUGAAAGGAUUUAUUUGUGAUGAUUGUGGAACUAAGAAACUUUUAAUCUUGGGAAAGGACUUUUCCAUAGUUUUGGAUUUGAAAUAAUUUUCUGUCCCUUCUAUUCUUUGUUGUGAUGAAAGGAAGAUAAUCGUUAUUGAACUCUUGGUUUCAGAAGUAAGUGGAUAUUUUAUUUUUGUUGUAUACCUACAUCUGUGUGUAUUGUGUGAGUUUCUACUAGGAGAUGGC